rnacentral:SRP_RNA from 1 species
GCUGGGCAUGGUGGUGCAUGCCUGUAAUCCCAACUACUCCGGAGGCUGAAGCAGGAGAAUUGCUUGAACCCAGGGGGUGGAGUUUGCAGUGAGCUGAGUUCAUGCCACUGCACUCCAGCCUGGGCAAUAGAGUGAGACUCUGUCUCAA